CCAGAAGGAUGGAGCAGGAAGGAAAGGCGAGGUGGUAGGAAACCUGAGCACGUUUACAUAAAUGUUCAGCUCCUUCUGGGCUUGCCUAAUCCUCGUCCUUUGUAGUUUGCCUUUUACGAGGGUAAACAUGGUUUAAUAGUGAGCAAAUAUUCGUUCACAUAAUUAAAACCUGUUGUGUUGAACAGGAAACAUCCAAGGGAAAUCUGCAGGUGCCUGCAAGCAAGGGUGACUCUGGAAGGAUCUUGGUAUGUCGGUGCCUUCUCUCCCAAGGUGAUAUACGGAGGAGCAGAUGUGUUGCCUCUAGCAAGGCAAUAAUUCACUUCAUUAUUAUUGUUUGAUUUGCCUUGUGUGUGCUGUUCAUUGCUAACGGAGGCCUGCAAUGCUGUCCGUGGGAUCUGAAAUGUACAAGAACGGGUCAGAAGGCCUUGGGAGAACUGAAAAAGAAGUCAUUGCCCUGGCCUCAGUCACCUGGCCCCAGACAAAAUCACACCCUGUCAUCCAUGAAGAUUUGCAGACCAGCCCCCACUCAGCUGCUGUUUUGACCAUAGCCCUUGCUGCCCUAGGCUCUUACCCAUGGGACCGAGAACGUUAAUGUCUGAAAGAAGUUAGAAACUGAUACUGAAGAGCAGACCUGUGUUGGAAAGAACAUAGUUCAAGGGAGACUGGUGAAUGAAGAAGGGAAGAUCAAUGUGAUGGCUGGAGCUCUAGCUGCCACAUUGGACCAUGAAGUGAAUUCAAGAUGGAAGCCAUAUGCUAAGUAUGGCAGAAUAAAAAGACAGAGGAAACCUGGAACUUUGAUGACACUGUAGCUCCCAUACCAGCCAGAAUCCAGCCUUAUUUUGUAUGAGAGAGAAGUGAUUCUGAAGAGCAGUCUCCGUUGGGAACCCUGGAGCAGAUGCUAUCUAAGAUGCCUCGCGGGGCUCCAGUGUUCUCUGACUCCAAAGCCCCCUGAAGCAUAUUCUGCGCAGUUCCACGCAGUGCAGCCCAGAGGAGACGGCGGCCCUCACCGUGAAGCCCCGUGAGAGAGUCGGCGUGUAGCCCGGGAAGCAGCCAGCACGGCAGAGCGUGACUUGCGUGGCGUGGGGGAGAGGGCGCCGGGGCCGUGCCUGUUUCUUAGCUGGUUCUGCUCUGGAGCCAGUGAAUUGGCCUCGCCUGGGGCCAGCGGGACCUUGGCCCAGACGGUGACUGUCCACCGCCUUGUUCCCGACGGCCCGGUCCUUCUCGCCAUCGUGCUGUGGUGUGGAACACCCAGCACGCCUGCCCCGAGUCCGAGGAGCACGUCAGGAAUCCCACAAGUUGCGUCCUUGAGGCCGGCACCCUUCGCGUGAGAUUCUGAAUGCAGUCAUGUGUCUCCAGCUGUCCCAGAGUCACAAAAAGUCCCCGUUCUAAUGAGGAGCUGUGGAAUGCUAAGGCUAAAGCUGCCUGGAGCUCCUCUUUCACAAGUUUCAAUCAUGGGUUAAUGCUGACAUUCUUUGGCUUUCGUAAAUGGGGAGGAGCCUUCUGUGUU